rnacentral:rRNA from 1 species
AGAGUUUGAUCCUGGCUCAGAACGAACGCUGGCGGCAGGCCUAACACAUGCAAGUCGAGCGCUGUAGCAAUACAGAGCGGCGCACGGGAGAGUAAUACAUGGGAACCUACCUUUUGGUUCGGAAUAACGUCGGGAAACUGACGCUAAUACCGGAUAAGCCCUUCGGGGGAAAGUUUUUCGCCGAUAGAUGGGCCCAUGUUGGAUUAGCUAGUUGGUGAGGUAACGGCUCACCAAGGCUACGAUCCAUAGCGGGUCUGGGAGGAUGAUCCGCCUCACUGGGACUGAGACACGGCCCAGACUCCUACGGGAGGCAGCAGUGGGGAAUAUUGGACAAUGGGGGCAACCCUGAUCCAGCCAUGCCGCGUGAGUGAUGAAGGCCUUCGGGUUGUAAAGCUCUUUUGCAGGGGACGAUGAUGACGGUACCCUGAGAAUAAGCCCCGGCUAACUUCGUGCCAGCAGCCGCGGUAAUACGAAGGGGGCUAGCGUUGUUCGGAAUUACUGGGCGUAAAGGGCGCGUAGGCGGCUUGACAAGUUGGAUGUGAAAGCCCAGGGCUCAACCCUGGAAUUGCAUUCAAGACUGUUUUGCUUGAAUUCGGUAGAGGUUGGUGGAAUUCCCAGUGUAGAGGUGAAAUUCGUAGAGAUUGGGAAGAACACCCGUGGCGAAGGCGGCCAACUGGACCGACAUUGACGCUGAGGCGCGAAAGCGUGGGGAUCAAACAGGAUUAGAUACCCCGGUAGUCC